rnacentral:rRNA from 1 species
CCUACGGGGGGCAGCAGUGGGGAAUAUUGGACAAUGGGCGAAAGCCUGAUCCAGCCAUGCCGCGUGUGUGAAGAAGGCCUUCGGGUUGUAAAGCACUUUCAGUGGGGAAGAAAGCCUUGGGGCUAAUACCCUCGAGGAAGGACAUCACCCACAGAAGAAGCACCGGCUAACUCCGUGCCAGCAGCCGCGGUAAUACGGAGGGUGCGAGCGUUAAUCGGAAUUACUGGGCGUAAAGCGCGCGUAGGCGGUCUGAUAAGCCGGUUGUGAAAGCCCCGGGCUCAACCUGGGAACGGCAUCCGGAACUGUCAGGCUAGAGUGCAGGAGAGGAAGGUAGAAUUCCCGGUGUAGCGGUGAAAUGCGUAGAGAUCGGGAGGAAUACCAGUGGCGAAGGCGGCCUUCUGGACUGACACUGACGCUGAGGUGCGAAAGCGUGGGUAGCAAACAGGAUUAGAUCCCGUGUAGUC